rnacentral:rRNA from 1 species
UGAGUUAUUGUGAAGUAGUUAGAAUAUGUAGUGUAGCGGUGAAAUGCAUAGAUAUUACAUAGAAUACCGAUUGCGAAGGCAGAUUACUAACAAUAUACUGACACUGAGGGACGAAAGCGUGGGUAGCGAACAGGAUUAGAUGCCCUGGUAGUCCACGCCGUAAACGAUGGUCACUAGCUGUUUGACUAACAUUGGUUAGUUGAGUGGCUAAGCGAAAGUGAUAAGUGACCCACCUGGGGAGUACGCUCGCAAGAGUGAAACUCAAGGAAUUGACGGGGGCCCGCACAAGCGGUGGAGCAUGUGGUUUAUUUCGAUGAUACGCGAGGAACCUUACCAGGCUUAAAUGUACGUUGCAUGAUUUAGAGAUAGAUCUUUCUUCGGACUACGUACAAGGUGCUGCAUGGUUGUCGUCAGCUCGUGCCGUGAGGUGUCAGGUUAAGUCCUAUAACGAGCGCAACCCCUAUCGUUAGUUGCCAACAGGUUAAGCUGGGAACUCUAACGAGACUGCCGGUGCAACCGCGAGGAAGUGGGGAUGACGUCAAAUCAUCACGGCCCUUACGUCCUGGGCACACACGUGCUACAAUGGCCGGUACAGAGAGCAGCCCUCGCGAGGAGAGCGAAUCUAUAAACCGGUCUCAGUUCGGAUCGCAGUCUGCAACUCGACU